ACUAUUGUGUAGUUCCAUUUGGUUGGAGCAAAGUUUAGCACAACACACAGCCAAAAAGGGGAAAUUUCUCCUCUCAAGAACAUGUUGUCUUUGCAGAAUUGGGGCUAUCCAUCUACUGUUUCUUUACAAAACCCUUCAAUUUACAAAAACACAACAACCAAAAUCCUAGUAUUUCCCUGUCUUGGAAAAAAUGGUAGAUGUUUUUCUUACUCUUCUUUGACCAGUAAACCUUUGCCUAAGUUGUUGUGUCUUCAUGGGUUUGGUGUAGAAGACAUUACUGAUGUUGUCCAUAACAAGGUUACUCACUCUACUUCAUAGGUUUGCUAAAAA
rnacentral:misc_RNA from 1 species